GACGAACGCUGGCGGCGUGCUUAACACAUGCGAGUCGAACGGAAAGGCCCUGCUUUUGUGGGGUGCUCGAGUGGCGAACGGGUGAGUAACACGUGAGUAACCUGCCCUUGACUUUGGGAUAACUUCAGGAAACUGGGGCUAAUACCGGAUAGGAGCUCCUGCUGCAUGGUGGGGGUUGGAAAGUUUCGGCGGUUGGGGAUGGACUCGCGGCUUAUCAGCUUGUUUGUGGGGUAGUGGCUUACCAAGGCUUUGACGGGUAGCCGGCCUGAGAGGGUGACCGGCGACAUUGGGACUGAGGUACGGCCCAGACUCCUACGGGAGGCAGCAGUGGGGAAUAUUGCACAAUGAGCGGAAGCCUGAUGCAGCAACGCCGCGUGCGGGAUGACGGCCUUCGGGUUGUAAACCGCUUUCGCCUGUGACGAAGCGUGAGUGGCGGUAAUGGGUAAAGAAGCACCGGCUAACUACGUG
rnacentral:rRNA from 1 species